rnacentral:rRNA from 1 species
AACGAACGCUGGCGGCAUGCCUAACACAUGCAAGUCGAACGAGACCUUCGGGUCUAGUGGCGCACGGGUGCGUAACGCGUGGGAACCUGCACUUAGGUUCGGCAUAACUCUCCGACAGGGGUGCUAAUACCGGAUCAUGUCUUCGGACCAAAGAUGUAUUGACUUUGGAUGGGCCCGAGUUGGAUUAGCUGGUUGGUAGGGUAAAAGACUAACAAGGCGACCAUCCAUAGCUGGGUCGAGUGGACGAUCAGCAACACUGGGACUGGGACACGGCCCAGACUCCGACGGAAGGCAGCAGUGGUGAAGAAUGGACAAUGGGCGAGGCCUGAUCCAGCAAUGCCGCGUGAGUGAUGAAGGCCUUAGGGUUGUAAAGCGCUUGUACCCGGGAUGAUAAUGACAGUACCGGGAGAAUAAGCCCCGGCUAACUCCGUG